CUCCUUUAAGCUAGCGUUCUAGACUAAGCCAUGCAAGUGUAAGCUCACGACUUCUCUGAAGUCGAAGCCGCGAAUAGCUCCGUACAAGACGGUUGAUCCACGGUCCAGCGAAUGUCAUAUGGAUAUCUCUGGUAAACUAGAGCCAAUACAUGCAAAGUUUCCUCGGUUUCGCUCACAAGGUGUUACCGGGGUGCAAUUAUCCUGAUCGAAGCGGCGCGACUCUCGGGUUGCGUUCCAGGUGAAUCUAGUUAAUUUUGCCUAUCGUGAGAUUUGCUCAACGGUGUGGACCGCGAGACUGUUACUCAUCAACUUUGGAUGGUAGGGUAUUGGCCUACCAUGGUUACAACGGGUACGGGGAAUCAGGGUUCGAUUCCGGAGAAUAGGCCUGAGAAACAGCCGCUAUUAUCACGGUAUGCAGCAGGUGCGCAAAUUUGUCAAUAUUCGUUUGAAUGAAUGAGUGAGAACGUAUGGUCGGGUGGGGCGAAAUUCGUCACCGCCACGUCGAUGAGGCUAGUCCAAAUAGCUAGCCGAAUACAAUCGGGGGGCAAGUCUGGUGCCAGCAGCCGCGGUAAUUCCAGCCCCGAGAGUUUACAGGAUUAUUGCUGAGACUAAAAAGUUCGUAGCCUGACCUAGUACCUGGUGGCGCGCGGGCGUUCUCUCUUCGAUGAGUAGGCGUCUGCUCGCCACUAGACACGGCCCGAGCGACGGAUGAAAUACUCCGGCGUUCCGGGUCCGCAUCCUUGACCCAAACCAAACGAUCGAAGUUAGCUUACGCUAAAUGGUUUUGCAUGGAAUCGCACAACAGCUCCGCGUCCAUCUAGUUGUUUCGAGAUGGCCGGUGACGUUCAACGAGAACUAUCAGAGACGAAGGAAUUCUUGGGCGAGGGGUAAAAUCUGUUGAGCCUAGGAGGACGUCCGAAAGCGAAAGCAUUCGUCUGGAGAGUUUUUGUCGGUAAAGAUCUAAAGAUACCUAAGCGAACUGGAUUAGAUACCCAGGUAGCGGUGUGCCCCAAACUAUGCCUACCGGCCCGGCGCACGAUCUACCCAAGUGACGAGUGUCGGGUCCGAGGAAGCUGGAGUGAUUUGGCUUUUGGGAGAGUACGGCUGCAAAGUUGAAACUUGAAGGAAUUGACGGAAGGGCACCACAUGAUCUGGAUUAUGCGGCUCAAUUGGAUUCGACGCCCGGCAAUCAACCAGGACAGGAGCGCCCGAAGAAGCACAGCUCGAAUAGCUCUGCCGAUGGGUGUAAGGGUGGUGCAUGGCUGUCGUAGUUCGUGACUCGAGUCGUCUGGUUAAAUCCGAUAACGAACGCGACCGCCCCGCUCGAAUAUCGUUCGGUACGCGCAGCUGCUCUCGGGCAGUAGCGUCAGUUCCGAUUCGACGAAACUCGAGCGGACAAACUUGGGAGCAGUGUUCUAUUGCGACCAAGAGGAAGCUUGGGCCAUGACAAGUCUGUGAUGCUCCUAGAUGCCCUGGGUUGCACGCGUCAUACAAUGGGCGUCCGAACGCGAUAUGGCCGUCCCGACAGGUACGGAUCAAACGUCGUAAAAGCGCCCCCGGUUGGGAUCGAGGAUUGCAACUGUUCCUCGUGAACUCGGAACAUCUUGUAGGGGCGGGUCAUCAACUCGCCCCGAAUAAGUCCCUGCCCUUUGUACACACCGCCCGUCGCUACAGUCGACCUAGCCCCAGCGUCAAGAGGCCGGACGGAAGGCACUUCGGUGCUGUUCGAAAAGUCCCUGAACGCUGAUGCUUAUAGAGUGUAUAAGUCGUAACAAGGUUACCGU
rnacentral:rRNA from 1 species